GCCCGGUCACAUUCCGAACCCGGAAGCUAAGCCUCUCAGCGCCGAUGGUACUGCAAGGGGGACCUUGUGGGAGAGUAGGACGCCGCCGGAC
rnacentral:rRNA from 3 species